GACAGAGGGUGCAAACGUUGCUCGGAAUCACUGGGCGUAAAGGGCGUGUAGGCGGGAAGGAAAGUCAGAUGUGAAAUCCCUGGGCUCAACCCAGGAACUGCAUUUGAAACUCCCUUUCUUGAGUACCGGAGAGGAAGGUGGAAUUCCUGGUGUAGAGGUGAAAUUCGUAGAUAUCAGGAGGAACACCGGUGGCGAAGGCGGCCUUCUGGACGGUAACUGACGCUGAGACGCGAAAGCGUGGGGAGCAGACAGG
rnacentral:rRNA from 1 species